rnacentral:lncRNA from 1 species
AAUUAUAAAACCCACACCAGGUUCAAGUUUCUUCACUGCUUCUUCAGCAAUUUCAUGAAGUUCUCGAUACAUUUAUGUCCCUUGUAACAACUACAUCCACACAUCUGACAUCAUUCGCUAUCAUCAGUUGUUUUCUCCAGCAUCUAAUACAUAUAAGAUUAAAUAAGGCUAGAUGAGAUUGUAUUUAUGGAUACGCUACACAUACAUUGUUUCUCUUGUGCGUAAAUAUCUUUUCAAUCUUUUAUAAGCAAUAGAACAAGUGCUUUCUGUAAAGGAGAAACUUGACAACAAACCACAACAUGGCAAUUCAAACUCAAGAAUUUGAAACUUGAAAUUUCAAACUCAAGAACCCUAAAAAUUUGAAACAAAACCCUAAAAAUCAAGAACACUAGCAAUAAAAAUCCAAAUGUUGAAACAUAUCCUUAUAAAACAAGAACAGUAGAAAUAACUAGCAAGGUACCAAAUGUUGAAACAUAACCUAACAGAGUGACACUUACGAUGGCGAAGAUGUUGAGAUGCGAUGGCGAAGUCGUGUUGAAACAUAACCUAACAGAGCGACACUUGUGAUGACAAUGGUCGCAGAGAAGGAUUGCGUUGAAGGUGAGAUGCAGGUUACAGGUUUCGCAGAGAGAUGAAGGUUUUGUAGGGAGAGGAGGGUUCCCAUGGAGGAGGGUUCUCACAAAGAAAAGUUUCGUAGGGAUAGGAGGGUUUGCAUAUAGAAGGGUUUUGCAGGGAGAAUGAACAAAU